CCUACGGGUGGCAGCAGUGAGGAAUAUUGGUCAAUGGCCGAGAGGCUGAACCAGCCAAGUCGCGUGAGGGAAGACGGCCCUACGGGUUGUAAACCUCUUUUGUCGGGGAGCAAAGAGAGUCACGUGUGACUCUUUGAGAGUACCCUAAGAAAAAGCAUCGGCUAACUCCGUGCCAGCAGCCGCGGUAAUACGGAGGAUGCGAGCGUUAUCCGGAUUUAUUGGGUUUAAAGGGUGCGCAGGCGGUCUGUUAAGUCAGCGGUCAAAGCCCGGGGCUCAACCCCCGACCGGCAGUUGAAACUGGGAGGCUCGAGUUGGAGAGAGGUAUGCGGAAUGCGAGGUGUAGCGGGGAAAUGCAUAGAGAUCGCGAAGAACUCCGAUUGCGAAGGCAGCAUGCCGGCUCCAGACUGACGCUGAGGCACGAAAGCGUGGGUAUCGAACAGGAUUAGAUACCCUUGUAGUC
rnacentral:rRNA from 1 species